rfam:Danio rerio chromosome 4, GRCz11 reference primary assembly.
GCCCGGAUAGCUCAGUCGGUGGAUCAUCAGACUUUUAAUCUGAGGGUCCAGGGUUCAAGUCCCUGUUCGGGCG